GUAUACACAUUUCUUUGCGAUAUUAGUGGCCACAAAAUUCCCAAUUAUGCUCGAAGAUAGAAGUUAUAAAUUAGAAAACUUAGUGAGGUACAUGUCGACCCACACUAUAUAUUCUUAACUUUUUUAAAAACGUUAUUCUUGUCUCGUUACUUUCAAUUGCUUUUCUGCUCCCUCCAACUAUUUUUAGUGGGUUUGUUCGAUAUUAUGUU